AUUGAACGCUGGCGGCAUGCUUUACACAUGCAAGUCGAACGGCAGCGCGGGCUUCGGCCUGGCGGCGCGUGGCGAACGGGUGAGUAAUGCAUCGGAACGUGCCCAGUCGUGGGGGAUAGCACGGCGAAGGCCGGAUUAAUCCCGCAUACGACCUGAGGGUGAACGCGGGGGGCCGAAAGGCCUCGCCCGUUUGGCUGGGCCGUAGACGGAUUAGCUAGUUGGUGGGGUAAAGGCUUACCAAGGCGACGAUCCGUAGCUGGUCUGAGAGGACGACCAGCCACACUGGAACUGAGACACGGCCCAGACUCCUACGGGAGGCAGCAGUGGGGAAUUUUGGACAAUGGGGGCAACCCUGAUCCAGCCAUGCCGCGUGCGGGAAGAAGGCCUUCGGGUUGUAAACCGCUUUUGUUCGGGAAGAAAUCCUCUGGGCUAAUACCCCGGGGGGAUGACGGUACCGGAAGAAUAAGCACCGGCUAACUACGUG
rnacentral:rRNA from 1 species